UUUUACUUACUGGAGAACUCGUUUUCAGUGAUGGAAUUAAAAGUAUACCGGAGUUUCAAGACAAUACACCAACGGUUUGAAAGCCGCAGAUAUUUUGUCACAAAACGCCAAGUCAUUGUCUUUUGGUCGGAAUAUUUCAUCGUUCUCAUUGUUAGAUAGCUUCGGCGCCGCCACGAAGGAAGAGUCUGUUUCAAAAUGCGUGAAAUAAAUAUUAUAUCUGCAGAUGAAACUUGUGAAUCGGUCAAGGCAACUCCAUUUCACCAGGAGUAUUACAUAUCACUGGUAGAAAAUAACUGAGCAACGUAUUGUUCGAUUGCACUCAAAUUCGUGACUAGCUUCAGAAGAGUUCGAGCAAAGCGAUGAACACUUAUUGGCACACCGUACGUACCAACGACAAAGUAUCUUCUGAUGUGUCUGAGCAGCAUCGAGAGUGUGACCCCAGCAAUCGCCUGCAGCAGGGCGAGACUCAAAAAACUGAGAGUGACCGUCCCAGCUCCUCCCAGGGCGCAAACGACGUACGCCUGUUGGUGAAACAAACGGAUUUAACCAAUUCCCAGUUGUGGUAGCAUCGGUGGUACUCAAGGUCCUGGGUUAUAAAGAACACAAGCAUACUCACUUCCAUAAAGUCAGCGAACAUGAAG